AACGAACGCUGGCGGCAUGCCUAACACAUGCAAGUCGAACGAAGCCUUCGGGCUUAGUGGCGCACGGGUGCGUAACGCGUGGGAAUCUGCCCCUUGCUUCGGAAUAACAGUUAGAAAUGACUGCUAAUACCGGAUGAAGUCUUCGGACCAAAGAUUUAUCGGCAAGGGAUGAGCCCGCGUAGGAUUAGGUAGUUGGUGGGGUAAAGGCCUACCAAGCCGACGAUCCUUAGCUGGUCUGAGAGGAUGAUCAGCCACACUGGGACUGAGACACGGCCCAGACUCCUACGGGAGGCAGCAGUGGGGAAUAUUGGACAAUGGACGCAAGUCUGAUCCAGCAAUGCCGCGUGAGUGAUGAAGGCCUUAGGGUUGUUAAGCUCUUUUACCAGGGAUGAUAAUGACAGUACCUGGAGAAUAAGCUCCGGCUAACUCCGUG
rnacentral:rRNA from 1 species